rnacentral:lncRNA from 1 species
GCGAGAGACGUUGAGAGGAGAGAUGUGAGUCUCUUCGAUCUGAGAAAGGAGAGAAAAACUCUACAAAACACUGAGAAAAGUCACCAGAAGACCUCUACUUGACCAGAAGAACAACUUCAGACCAGGACCAGAACUUUAGAAAAAGGACUUAUAAGACGACGAGACCAGGAAAGUGAACCAUGGCCCUGCGCAUGGCUCACGGUAUGGGUGAUCCUGAGGGUUGGGUCACAGGCUGGGCCCAGCCCGACGGUUGGGUCGCAGGCUGGGUCCAGCCCGAGGGUUGGGUCGCAGGCUGGCAGCAUCCACUGAUGGAGGAGGAGGAGGAGAAAGAUGGAGGAGCAUCAGUCCACUACAUUGUCCCAUGAUCAGCCCCAGGAGGAGAUAUCAGCAGAGGAAGGAAAUACUUUAAUCCUAAACGAUAGGAACUCCAGCAUCCACUGAUGGAGGAAGAGAAGAAAGAUGGAGGACGGGAGCGCCAGCAUCUACCAAUGGAGGAGAAGAAAGACAUUUAUUUAAACAAUGUAAGCAAAACCUCUUAUUUACACAGAAAGACAUUGAACAAUUUUUUAGUGUAAAAAUGCUGUCAUUGGUAAAAAUGUUGUAAAAUGUAAAUUGUAAAAUGUUCACCACAGUGUCCCUAAUCAGCUCCAGGAGGAGACACCAGCAGAGGAAAGAAAGACUAAUGACCAAAACAAUGUAAGUAAAACUAAAGCCUCUAAAAUGUCGUAGAGGAAUGCCAGCAUCCACUGAUGGAGGAGGAGGAGAAAGAUGGAGGAGCAUCAGUCCACUACAGUGUCCCAUAAGCAGCCCCAGGAGGAGAUAUCAGCAGAGGAAAGAAAUACUUUAAUCCUAAACAAUGUAAGCAAAACCUCUCAUUUACACAAAAAUACAAUGUAUACGUUUAUUGUAAAAAUAGACGUCACGUUUUACUAACGCCUGUAAAAUGUCGUAGAGGAACGCCAGCAUCCACUGAUGGAGGAAGAGAAGAAAGAUGGAGGACGGGAGCGCCAGCAUCUACCAAUGGAGGAGAAGAAAGACAUUUAUUAAAACAAUUGUCCCUAAUCAGCUCCAGGAGGAGACACCAGCAGAGGAAAGAAAGACUAAUGACCAAAACAAUAGGAAUGCCAGCAUCCACUGAUGGAGGAGGAGGAGAAAGAUGGAGGAGCAUCAGUCCACUACAGUGUCCCAUAAGCAGCCCCAGGAGGAGAUAUCAGCAGAGGAAAGAAAUACUUUAA